UUGAAACAACCCCUGGCCUAAGCUCUUUGGGGCAGAGGCUGGGAGGGGACACAGGUCUGGUCAGCCUGCAGGCCCCCAUUCCACAGGGGACAGCUGAGUGCCGGAGGUAUGGGGAUACACAGCCAGCCCCACCGGGCAACGGAUCCCCCUCACCCCCAGGGGUGAGCGAAGGCCUGCCAGGCCCAGCACUUACUGGGAAAAGGGUUGCAGCUCAUGAGUUGGGACAGGCUGCGUCCAUCACCCACUCAACCCCUUGCUUUGUGUCCAAAAGGGGCAGUGCCCCUUUCCGCUGGCUGAACAGGCUCUCCAGGUCGUCGGCUCGUAUUAAGGGCUCGUAUUAAGGCAAUACGACUUACCUGGCGGCUCGUAUUAAGGGCCAGACAUGAACAGGAGACGCCCAGCUGGAAGAGAAAGACCAGGCCUAAAAUGACCAUGUA